UUGUUUUUUGUUUUUUGUUUUUUACACAAACAACACUCCUCUCUCACUCCCUCACACUCUCCCACCGGUACCUAACUCCCUACCACCAUCUCCAUCAUUUUUUUCCAGCAAGAUCACCAAAAAAAAUCCUUAGGAAUUCCUAAGCAUCUUCAUCCCUUUUAUUUGAGCUCAUUCCACCCUCCAACAGUUUUACUGAUCAAUUGCAAUAUGUCGAGCAUGAAGCUUAGUUUAUUGGUGCGAUUGGAGUACUAUGCUAAUUGGGAGACUUGUGUUGUAAAUGGUUGGUGAUUUGAUUUUGCUAAAUUUAACGAGGCCUUAAUUAAUUCUGUUGGAGGUUAGGCACUUGAGUAUUGUUACCCUUAGGCGUGGUAGGCCCAAAAUCGAUGUUAAGGUUCCUUAUUCUUGAUAAGAUUGUGACUUUGUGUAAUCUAAUUGGAAUUUUGUAAUAUAUUCAUGUAUUGUGUGGAGGCACAUGAUAUUUAGUUA